rnacentral:rRNA from 1 species
UAAUACAGAGGUCUCAAGCGUUGUUCGGAUUCAUUGGGCGUAAAGGGUGCGUAGGCGGCGCGGUAAGUCGGGUGUGAAAUUUCGAGGCUUAACUUCGAAACUGCAUUCGAUACUGCCGUGCUCGAGGACUGGAGAGGAGACUGGAAUUUACGGUGUAGCGGUGAAAUGCGUAGAUAUCGUAAGGAAGACCAGUGGCGAAGGCGGGUCUCUGGACAGUUCCUGACGCUGAGGCACGAAGGCCAGGGGAGCAAACGG